AGCAACAACUGAGCUCUGGCUGUUUAAUGCUUCUGCUAGCUGUAGCUAUGAUUGCGCCUGGAUCUGCUGUGCCUCUAGCCCUGUCCUUACCUUCUUGCUGGCUUCUUCGAUCUGAUUACUGGCUUCCUGACAGUGGCUCCUGCUUGGACUACUAGGCAUGAUUGCCUGCAUUCCAGUUUGACACUAUUGAUUUGGAUGGGGGGGAAGUGAAGAAAGAUUGCGAUUGUCCAAGGAUGUCAACUGAGUCUGACACAGCAGGGACUUGCCUAGAUCCUGGCUGUGAUGGGAUGGAUUCCCAUCUGUGCAGCAUGUACAACUGGCGGUAUGCAAGCUUGAUGAUCCAUCAAUUCACUUCACACAGUUUUUUAAGAUGAUGAUACAUGAACCAAUACAGCUUGAGAACUGUUUGCUCUAAAAAAUGAAAGAGGAGAGUCUCUCUUACCUGCUAACUAGUGGGAAGCACCUUGUCUCCAUUGAUCUUGGAGAUUGUGAGGCUCAAGGCAGAUCUUCAGGAACUCCGAGAGCCAUGAUGGAACAGAAAAGCCUGAUAGUUUUGACGCCACAAAGGGAGAAGUGACAGAGGCUACAUGGAGUCAACUAGGGACUUUGCUAUUGAUUUUAUGUGGAGGGUGCUCAAGCGUUUCAGUGAUGGGAACUGGUAUAAACCCCUAGGAUGGAUGGACAGAAUAGAUUGAGGAACUUCCAUACAGACCAGUUUUAAAAGCCACAGAUUCCUCCUGUGUAGACUGGUGCUUCUGGAGCAGAGCCACAAGCAUAGACCAAUUGGAUCCCAUCAUCUUGAAGACCAGCAGUGACUCCAUAACUUUUGCAUGAAGAAGCAGAUGUUCCUGGAGGUUUAUGAUGAGCUUGCCCCAACCCUCCAGUGCCAUGACACCCAUUAUCGAGAGAGGGCAUGAGAUGACCUGUAUUAACGUUUGUGCCACGUUUAACAUUGCAUAUAAUAAAACUUGCAAGUGUA